UACGGAGGGGACUAGCGUUGUUCGGAAUUACUGGGCGUAAAGCGCACGUAGGCGGCUUUGUAAGUCAGGGGUGAAAUCCCGGGGCUCAACCUCGGAACUGCCCUUGAUACUGCAAAUCUCGAGUCCGGAAGAGGUGAGUGGAAUUCCUAGUGUAGAGGUGAAAUUCGUAGAUAUUAGGAAGAACACCAGUGGCGAAGGCGGCUCACUGGUCCGGUACUGACGCUGAGGUGCGAAAGCGUGGGGAGCAAACAGG
rnacentral:rRNA from 1 species